CGAGCGGUAUUUGUUCUUCGGAACAGAGAGAGCGGCGUACGGGUGCGGAACACGUGUGCAACCUGCCUUUAUCUGGGGGAUAGCCUUUCGAAAGGAAGAUUAAUACCCCAUAAUAUAUUGAAUGGCAUCAUUCGAUAUUGAAAACUCCGGUGGAUAGAGAUGGGCACGCGCAAGAUUAGAUAGUUGGUGAGGUAACGGCUCACCAAGUCUGCGAUCUUUAGGGGGCCUGAGAGGGUGAUCCCCCACACUGGUACUGAGACACGGACCAGACUCCUACGGGAGGCAGCAGUGAGGAAUAUUGGACAAUGGGUGAGAGCCUGAUCCAGCCAUCCCGCGUGAAGGACGACGGCCCUAUGGGUUGUAAACUUCUUUUGUAUAGGGAUAAACCUACUCUCGUGAGAGUAGCUGAAGGUACUAUACGAAUAAGCACCGGCUAACUCCGUGCCAGCAGCCGCGGUAAUACGGAGGGUGCAAGCGUUAUCCGGAUUUAUUGGGUUUAAAGGGUCCGUAGGCGGAUCUGUAAGUCAGUGGUGAAAUCUCACAGCUUAACUGUGAAACUGCCAUUGAUACUGCAGGUCUUGAGUGUUAUUGAAGUAGCUGGAAUAAGUAGUGUAGCGGUGAAAUGCAUAGAUAUUACUUAGAACACCAAUUGCGAAGGCAGGUUACUAAGCAACAACUGACGCUGAUGGACGAAAGCGUGGGGAGCGAACAGGAUUAGAUACCCUGGUAGUCCACGCCGUAAACGAUGCUAACUCGUUUUUGGGGCUUCGGCUUCAGAGACUAAGCGAAAGUGAUAAGUUAGCCACCUGGGGAGUACGAACGCAAGUUUGAAACUCAAAGGAAUUGACGGGGGCCCGCACAAGCGGUGGAUUAUGUGGUUUAAUUCGAUGAUACGCGAGGAACCUUACCAAGGCUUAAAUGGGAAAUGACAGGUUUAGAAAUAGACUUUUCUUCGGACAUUUUUCAAGGUGCUGCAUGGUUGUCGUCAGCUCGUGCCGUGAGGUGUUAGGUUAAGUCCUGCAACGAGCGCAACCCCUGUCACUAGUUGCCAUCAUUAAGUUGGGGACUCUAGUGAGACUGCCUACGCAAGUAGAGAGGAAGGUGGGGAUGACGUCAAAUCAUCACGGCCCUUACGCCUUGGGCCACACACGUAAUACAAUGGCCAGUACAGAGGGCAGCUACACAGCGAUGUGAUGCAAAUCUCGAAAGCUGGUCUCAGUUCGGAUUGGAGUCUGCAACUCGACUCUAUGAAGCUGGAAUCGCUAGUAAUCGCGCAUCAGCCAUGGCGCGGUGAAUACGUUCCCGGGCCUUGUACACACCGCCCGUCAAGCCAUGGAAGUCUGGGGUACCUGAAGUCGGUGACC
rnacentral:rRNA from 1 species